rnacentral:rRNA from 1 species
AGUGAACGUUGGCGGCGUGGAUUAGGCAUGCGAGUCGAGCGAGAACCGUAGCAAUACGGGGACAGCGGCGAAAGGGACAGUAAUAUGUAGGUACCUACCCUCGGGUCCGGGAUAGCUGCGGGAAACUGCAGGUAAUACCGGAUGACAUCUCCGGAUCAAAGGUGUGAUUCCGCCCGGGGAGGGGCCUGCAUCCUAUUAGCUUGUUGGUGGGGUAACGGCCUACCAAGGCGACGAUGGGUCGCGGGUGUGAGAGCAUGACCCGCGUCAUUGGGACUAAGACACUGCCCAGACACCUACGGGUGGCUGCAGUCGAGAAUCUUCGGCAAUGGGGGCAACCCUGACCGAGCGACGCCGCGUGCGGGAUGAAGGCCUUCGGGUUGUAAACCGCUGUCGUAGAGGAGGAAAUGCAGGGGGGUUCUCCCCUCUGUUUGACCUAUUCUAGGAGGAAGGACGGGCUAAGUUCGUGCCAGCCGCCGCUGUAA